CAUGGAAAUGCAAAGAUGUUGCAGUGACGAAGCAGAAUUUCCAAGCAUUCACGAGAGCUUUGUGCUAAACAACCCGACGCACAUCCAGAAUAAGCCCUGCUAGGCCUGGCUACAAACACUAAACCUUGCCCGAACCAACACCCAUUUCAGUCGUUGGACUCCAAGCGUAGUGCGGUGGCAUCGUUUCAAAAGGAAGUUACGUCUCUCUAGCAAUAUGUCUCACUGAAAAGAUGAAGACCAUUUGUGUCCUGUUCGUUCUGGUGGUGAUCUUCUCCUUGGUCCUUGGAGAUAACGUCGAGGAAGGAUUCAAUGAAGAAACGGAUCUGGAAAAACGGUCGGACUGCUUUCCUGUCGGUCACUUUUGUACCAAGAACUGGACUUGCUGUAACACUUCAGGUGGCAUUCCCCACUGCGGCUGGGACUUUAAAUGUUACUAAUAAUCAGACGACAUACCAGUACCAAGGAUGAAAUGACUUGGAUAGAACAUUACAGCAUCCUUCUGUACCACAUUCGUGCUUUUGUGUAAUUGCUUCGACCAA